rnacentral:rRNA from 1 species
UACGUAGGGGGCAAGCGUUGUCCGGAUUUACUGGGCGUAAAGAGCGUGUAGGCGGCCACGCAGGUCCGUUGUGAAAACUGGAGGCUCAACCUCCAGCUGUCGACGGAAACCGCGUGGCUAGAGUCCGGAAGAGGAGAGUGGAAUUCCUGGUGUAGCGGUGAAAUGCGCAGAUAUCAGGAAGAACACCAAUGGCGAAGCAGCUCUCUGGGACGGUACUGACGCUGAGACGCGAAAGCGUGGGGAGCGAACAG